rnacentral:rRNA from 1 species
UACGAAGGGUGCAAGCGUUAAUCGGAAUUACUGGGCGUAAAGCGUGCGCAGGCGGUUUGUUAAGUCUGCUGUGAAAUCCCCGAGCUCAACUUGGGAAUUGCAGUGGAUACUGGCAGGCUGGAGUAUGGUAGAGGAAGGUGGAAUUCCCGGUGUAGCAGUGAAAUGCGUAGAGAUCGGGAGGAACACCAGUGGCGAAGGCGGCCUUCUGGACCAAUACUGACGCUCAUGCACGAAAGCGUGGGGAGCAAACAGG